rnacentral:rRNA from 1 species
CCUACGGGUGGCAGCAGUGAGGAAUAUUGGUCAAUGGGCGAGAGCCUGAACCAGCCAAGUCGCGUGAGGGAGUACUGCCCUAUGGGUUGUAAACCUCUUUUGUCGGGGAGCAAAAGCCGGACGUGUCCGGCUGUGAGAGUACCCGAAGAAAAAGCAUCGGCUAACUCCGUGCCAGCAGCCGCGGUAAUACGGAGGAUGCGAUGGUUAUCCGGAUUUAUUGGGUUUAAAGGGUGCGCAGGCGGAUUAUUAAGUCAGCGGUAAAAUCGUGGGGCUCAACCCCAUCCAGCCGUUGAAACUGGUGAUCUAGAGUGUGCGAGAGGUAUGCGGAAUGCGUGGUGUAGCGGUGAAAUGCAUAGAUAUCACGCAGAACCCCGAUUGCGAAGGCAGCAUACCGGUGCACAACUGACGCUCAGGCACGAAAGCGUGGGUAUCGAACAGGAUUAGAUACCCGAGUAGUC